AGCAAUCCAUGUAAGAAAACUGCCUGCCAGCGUGUUAAAAAUCUUGAUAAAUUUGCUGAUAUCGUUAACAUAUUUUAGUUGGCAAGGCAAUGCAGGAGUUGAUUGAGUUAGGGGCAGUCACAUUUUUGGUCCCUGGAAACCUACCAAUUGGAUGCCUCCCAUCAUAUCUGACAAACUAUCAGGGUUCAGAUGAGGAAGAAUAUGAUCCCUUAACCGGUUGUCUAACAUGGCUGAACCAGUUCUCUGAGUACCACAAUCAAUUGCUUCAGGAAGAACUUGCUAGAAUCCAAGAGAUUCAUCCCCAUGUCAACAUUUUUUAUGCAGAUUAUUACAGUGCUGCAAUUCGUUUCUACCUUUCUCCAAAGCAAUUUGGUACUUUCACUUUCCAAAAAACACAAAUUGAGCUUAUAUAGACUACUGAAAACUCAAAUUCUUAACUUAAUAAUCAUUUCCAGGGUUUAGAAAAGAAACUCAGAGAAAAGCAUGCUGCGGAGGGGGAGGUCCGUACAAUUUCAACUUGUCGGCAGUUUGUGGUUAUCCGCUGGUAACAUCCUGCUGUGAUGACCCUUCUUCGUAUGUAAGCUGGGAUGGUAUACAUUAUACAGAAGCAGCCAACAGAUUGCUUUCGAGGGCCAUAUUAGAUGGACUACACACUAAUUUUCCCAUUUCAAAUAGCUUGUUUCAGUCAUUUACUGUACACAACAAACAUAGCAAUAGUUGAGGGCAGAAAUUGAGAAUCUUAAUUUUAGAAGGUAGGUCAUGGUGUGUUGGAGUUAGGCUCAGUUUGCAAUACUCCUUAAUAUGAAAAGUUUGUUUUCAAUUUAGAAAAGUAGUGCUGUGUGCUAAUUACAUGUCUUUUACUUGGUGAUUAUUUAGUUUCUUUUAUUUGGUGGUUAUUUGGUUUUUCAUGUUAAUCAUAUUUUGACAGUUAAAGUAAAUGUAAGGAACAACUCAUAAACUUAGUGAUGUGACAAUCUUAAGUAGUAUUAUCUAUUUUAUUUAUUUAUUUAUUUUUUAACAUUAUCUUUUGUAAGGCUAUAAAAACUGUUAUCUUUAUUAAUGAAAUUGUGUGAUUAUCUUCCUUUUUUGUUUUAGCACUCAAUAAUCUCUUAAAUGUCCCAAAAUUCUAACAUGGUGACAUGAAAUGAGAGGUCAAGAGGAAUUCCAUCCCUUGAACGGUUCUAGGAGAAGUAAGAACAAGAAACAGGCCGCAGGCCAAGUUUCUUGCCCUUACUUGUUCUUUUAUUGUGGUGGUGUCUCUGGUUUACUGAUUUGAGUUUGCUGUUUCCCUUGUUGAGAUUUCUUUUGCUGCUCUGAGUCUAAUAAUAGGGUGGUGGAUUCAUGUACUCUGUAUAGUUUAACAGGCUGUGGUCAUGGUUGUUUUUUUUUUCAAGCCAUUCUAAGACAGUAAUUGACUGGAGGAUGACCAGUCGAUAUUUGUCUGCUUUUGUAAAUAAUAGUUUCAUAUAAUGAAAUGAUCCACUUUAAUUUUUUUUUAAAAAAUAGAAGCUAAAAAUAUUUUUAUUAUAUUUAUAUAUUUAGAAUAUUUUUAAUUUAAUAGAUAUGAGACUAUAGUCAAUUUAAUAAGUUGAAAAUUUAAUUUAUAAACAUGAUUCGUUAUAUUCACAGUUAAUGAAUUGCAAUCGGUCAAAGAAUUUGAAGGUCUUCCUCUUUAACAAAAAGAACAAUUCACCCCUAUAUUACAUAGUUUACUUUAUCAAGAUUACAGUCACAGACUAACAAUAUCAAGAAUACAUGUGGGGCUUAUACAAUGUACCAACUUGGAUUAGUGGGUGGAGCCAUGAAUUUUACAAAAUGAAGGUGAUAACGAUCAAAGGAAAGGUUGCUUUCUAAGGAUCGAAUUUCCAUGGCCCCAGAAAAUGUUUUCCAGGCUGGUGAAUUGGCUGUGGAUCAGUCUUGUCAGGACUUGUGGAAUCAAUUCGGGAAUGAAUAGAAAUGUCCUAAUGCUUCUUUAAUGUUAAAGGGCCAAUCUUAUCCAAGAUUAAGUGCCGUAUACUGCUUAAGGAUUCACUAUUCUGAUUCUUAUGAAAGUUAAGCUACAAUUUGCAGCUGAUGCUGUCACUAAUUCAUCUAACUCAGUAAUACUAUCAAAACUUUAAGGUAAAAUAUAUUUCUUUUUAAGUUUUUAUCGAAAUGACACGACAAUAUAUUAAUUUUCAAAAUAAAUACUUCGUUCAAAAAAUAUAUUUUUCGUUGGCCACAUAGGUCCAAUUAUUAUUAUUUUUGUUAACUUGGUGACGUGGUAGAGUAAAAAGAUAGUUUUACCUUUAAUUACUUUUUAAAAUUAAUGUUAUAUAAUUUUAUUAUUUUUUACUAAUUAAAAAGAAAAAAAAACUUUUCAUUUAGGGAGCACCAGAGCUCCCAUUGGGGCUCCUUAAGGGAGCACUAGUGCUUUACUAGAUAACCCAAUUUGGGGCUCCCCUUUUUUGGUGAGCUAGAGAGCACCGUUUUUAUUUAUUUUUUUAAAUAUAAUAAUAAUUUUUUAAAUUAAUAAAAAAAGAAAGGGCAUUUUAGUCUUUUCAUAACUUCUGUUAAUGNCUUCUUUCUUGUUUUUUUUUUUUUUUUUUUUAAAUAUAAUAAUAAUUUUUUAAAUUAAUAAAAAAAAACAUUUUAAUUUUUUUUAAUCUCUGUUAACAGUAUUUGCAUUUUUAAGAUGAGUGUUCAUUUCAAAAAUUAAUAAACUCAUUUAAAAUUUCGUCGACUAAAACUUAAAGGAGUUAUCCUCCUUUAAGAGCAGCUUGAGUAAGAAGCCUGAAACCAUGCUCCCAAACCAAUCCCACUUCCACUAACAACAAACCAACCACCCACCACUCUACGUGGCCCCACCAUACCACCACCAAUUCACACCGGCCCCAUCAACCUUUUUCCAUCAUGCACCGAACUCAUCCUUCUUGAACACCCAACACCUCCAAUCGGCCCCACCCUAAGGUAACAUCUUCCAGCAAAACUAUGUCAUUCCAACGCCGCAACAAACAAUGCAGCUAAGCAACCAAGCCUUCAAAUAUCCACUUGCACACUCAUAUCCACAAGCCAUAAACCCCCCACUAAAAACUGCCCACCGCGAUUGGCGAUCAUCUCUCCACUCAGUCUACAUCUCUAACUUGAGUUGAAGAGUCACCAGGAAAAGACUCAUAGAGGUUUUUGAUGCUUAUGGCAAAGUGAGGGACGUCUACAUCUCCAACAGACAAAGCCAAGACAAAGUCACCACCUUCGCUUUUGUUAGGUACAAAGCGCUACGGGAGAUGGAUAGAGCUUGUACCCAUGGAAAUGGAAGGAGACUCAAUGGGCAUUAUAUUGUUGUCAAAAAAGCUGAGUAUGGAUGGGACCAAAGAAGGGUAAGAACGCAACCAAGCCAUACUAGACGACCUAGCCAAGCCAGCGAAAGCAGACAGCUAGCACAAUCACCAUCAAAAUACAGCACAAGGCCAAGUUCACCAAGAGAUGAUAGAACUUAUCUCCAGGUCCUACAAAGCAGCCUGCAAUUGCAACCACCACAACCACCACAGCAACAAGCCAAUUUUAACAUUGAGGUAUGUCAAGAAGAAUUCGAAUGGCUCAACUACAGUGCUGUAGGCACACUAUCAAGCUACGUCCACCACCAGAUCCUCCAAGAGAUUUUUGCAGAGAAGGAUAUCAAUGUGUGAUCAAGUCGAUAGGGGGGCAAAAAUGUUCUUCUCACUUUCUGUCUCAAGGAAGACCUGAAGGUUUGCACCGAAGAACACAGAGCAUGGCUUAACCUCUAGUUUGAAUCCAUUGUCCCCUGGAAAAAUGCAACCCCUCAUGUUGAGAGGCUAAUAUGGAUAAAAGUUGAUGGUGUCUCGAUCAACCUGUGGACUGAAGCACUCUUUAGUGAAAUUGGGGAACAAUGUGGCUCUUUCAUCAUGACAGAUGAGGACACCUACCACCGUAGACGAUACAACAUUGCUUGAAUGCUCAUAUCUGUCAAAAAGAACACUACUGUUCCCACCUCAGUUACUUUCAAAGCAAAUUGAGGAGUUUACAAGGUCCAUGUAAAAGAAGAAGAUGUGCAAGACAUUCCUAAACCCCAUAGCUUUGGCGGAGCUCUGACGACAUCUCACCCUUUGAUUCAAACCAAGCAGUACAGUGACAGUGGGCAACGAUCUAUUGGAUGGGACAUGCCAGAACAGCAAGGCUUGAGUAGAGCAGCCUGCAAAACUCAGAGUGAACACUGUUCAAGGACUGAUAGCCUCAGGGAAACUGUCCAUCUUGAGCCCAUCAAAACACGCAGUAGCACCACAAUGGCUCCCUCAAUCAACCUACAAAACAAAAGUCCCACCCAUGCUUCUAGUUUGCAGUUUCCACCCCAUCACCAACUAAGCUCACAAAAUAGCCCCACACAAGUAAACCUACCAUCACACAACUCAGGCCAAAAGAUAUCCAGGUUUGUAUCAUGGCCAACGCUCAAGCCCACCAACCCAACCAACUCAACCAGAAAAGCAAAGCAAUCCAAAAAGACAACAACCUUGAAAACCCAACGAGGCAGCUCAGUAAAAGAUAAAGCAGUAGUGUCACCCAACCCGUAUGCCCAAGAUCUCCACUCCUCAGAUGAUGACUUUACGCCAUUUUCAAAGCUGUGGGUAAAAAUAAGAGCAAGAAAAAAGGAAAAAGAGUCAUUUUUCAACUUAAGAAGUUAAGAAAACUCAAAAAGUGCCUUAGUUCAGAAAAAAAACAAAGUAAAAAAAAAUAAGAUUCGGGCAAAGAAUCCAAAGGGAGGAAACAACAGAAAAAGAGGAAAGCCCACACGAAGACAAACAACCUUAUAGAACCCAAAAAUUGUGCAACAAGUGAAAUAGAGAGAAACUCCACUGUAUUGGAAGAAGCAAGAAAGACGCUCAACAUAUGUUCAUUACUAGGGCUUGUCCUUGAAAAUGAUGAUGACACAACUAUCCAAUACUUCUCGGAGUCUUUGGUCAACUCCACCAAGAAGGCUAAAAGAUUUCGCCAAGUGUGAUAAGCGUCUCCCCACUCUUCCACCAUGAUUAAUGUUAUCUCAUGGAAUAUCAGGGGCUUAGGAUCGAGGAUUAAGCGAAGAGCAGUGAAAAGGCUUGUUAACUCCCAAAAAGCAAAAAUACUUUUUUUACAAGAGACAAAAAAGAACACUAUGGACCCUCUCUUUGUCAAAUCCUUAUGAAAAAAAAAGAGAUUUUCUUAUGAGAUGGUAGCCUCCAUAGGUGCUAUAAGUGGACUCAUUACCAUUUGGUCAGAAGAUUUUUUUGAGACCUCUUCUAUUGUAGUCCAACAAAGAUAUAUCCUUACCUCCGGAAUCAUUAAGCUUGUCAACUUUCGAUGUUCGUUUCUGAAUAUCUAUGCACUUAAUUGCUCAGUGGAAAGAGCUAGUCUAUGGGUUGAAAUUUUAGAGCUCAAAACUCAAAUAACGGGGCAUCUGUGUGUUUGUGGUGACUUUAAUAUCAUCAAGACUGCUGAUGAGAAAACAUGAGACAACUUGGAUCUCACUGGUAUGGCUCAAUUCUCUGAUUUUAUCAAUGAUAUGAAUCUUAUUGAUAUUCCUCUUUUUGGAUGGUUGUUUACGUGGACAGAUAAUAAGGAGGCCCCAACCAAAUGCCGCCUCGAUCGUUUUCUUAUCAGCAGCGAGAUUAUCCUCAGCUUCCUUGCAAUUUUACAGAAGGUACUCCCAAAAUCCCUCUCUAACCAUAAUCCCAUCACACUCAUUGUUGACUAAAAGAAUUGGGGUCUAAAAACCUUUCGACUAUUUUCCCACUGGUUCGAAAAUAAGGAGUUUGUCGCUUUCUUGAAAAGCACAUGGGAUUUGAUCAAUCAAGAAAAUAGUGGCUUUAGUGGUCUUUUUGAAAAAAUGAAAAGGCUUAAACUCUCAGUGAAAGCUUGGCAACAACAACAUCAUGUUGAAGAUGGGAAAAUGAUCACCAUCCUCGAGAAUGACAUUGAUACCCUGAAAAAAGAAGCAGAAAAGAGGGAACUCUCUGUACCUGAAAAAGCCAACCACACUAACCUUAAAUCAAAACUUUGGCACCUGUACAAACGAGAGGAGCAAUCAUGGUUACAAAAAUCACAACUGUAAUGGACUAAAUUAGGUGAUCGUAACACCAAGUUUUUCCACAUUACAGCCUCAAACAGAAGGAGAAAGAACUUAAUCCAUCAGAUACAGAGGAAUGGGACCUUUAUCCAUGACCCCAUCGGCAUAAAAAUAAGGUACUUUUUCACUUCAAAGCUUUUUUUCUCAGACAAGAUACCUUGAAAAUUAAAGAAUUUAAUUGCCAAUUUAGACAACUCAGUACUGACCAGAAUAACAACCUUGAAGCACCUUUCACUGAGGAAGAAGUUUGUUUAGCCAUUCAACAGUGUGAUGGGAACAAAGCUCUUGGCCUAGACGGCUUCAACGUAGAGAUCUUUAAGAAACAGUGGCCACUUUUCAAAAAAGAAGUUCUUGCUUUUAUGGAAAAUCUCUACAGCACCGGGAAAUUCAACAAAAAUAUAAAUUCCUCUUUUAUUACCUUGGUUCCAAAAAUAAGUAGUCCUACUUUGAUCUCUCACUUUAGGCCCAUAAGCCUUGUAGGUUGCAUAUACAAAAUUUUAGUAAAAGUUCUUGCUAACAGGCUCAAAGCGGUGAUCGGAUCUGUCAUUGGUGAAAACCAAUUUGCUUUUUUCAAAGGGAAGCAGAUUCUUGACUAUUACUUAAUAGCUAGUGAGCUUAUUGACUUAAUGAAAAAAACCAAAAGAAGCGGUCUUAUGUUCAAAGCUGAUUUUGAAAAGGCUUUUGAUAAUGUUGAAUGGGACUACUUGGAUUUAAUCAUGCAGCUCAUGAAUUUUGGUCUAAGAUGGCGAGGUUGGAUCAGGCAAUGUGUUACUACUGCCAGCAUUUCAAUCCUUAUGAAUGGCACCCCUACUGCUCAAUUUUCUACUCAGAGAGGACUCAGGCAAUGAUGUCCUCUUUCCCCUUUUCUCUUCAAUAUUGUUGUUGAAUCUCUUAGCAUCCUUCUUAACAAGGCUAAUAAUCUGGGAGUCUUUGAAGGAGUCAAAAUUGAGAGCUCUGACAUUGCUAUUUCUCAUCUGUAAUUUGUAGAUGACACCUUACUUUUUUGUGGACCUCACUUUGAUCAUAUUAUAAAUAUUGCAAGAAUUUUACGAAUUUUUCAAUCAGUUUCAGGGCUCAAAAUCAAUUUCUCUAAGAGUUGUCUAAUAGGCAUUGGUAUCGAUGAUUCUCUGUUGAGUUCUUGGGCUUCAAUGAUCAACUACAAGGUGGGAGCCCUCCCCACGAAUUAUCUUGAGUUACCGUUAUGAGCUAAUCUUCACUUUAUGGGCACUUGGUAGCCCAUCAUUGACAAAUUUAAUUCAAGAUUAACUGGUUGGAAAGGACAAUUUCUCUCUAUGGGAGGUAGGCUUACACUUAUCAACUCAGUACUCUCAAGCCUCCCCCUCUUUUACCUCUCCAUUUUUCGUCUUCCAGCCAUGGUUAAACAAAAACUUGAAGCUAUUCAAAGAAAUUUUCUCUGGUCUGGUUCUUCCGAGAAAAAGAAAAUUCAUUAUGUCAACUGGUCUACUGUUAGUAACCCAAAAACUCAAGGAAGAUUGGGAAUCAUAGAUUUAGAGCUAAAAAAUAGAGCUCUUCUCAACAAAUGGCUUUUGAGGUAUGCAAAUGAGCCUGAUAGGAUAUGGAGGCAAGUUGUGUCUGCCAAAAACAAGUUGAAACCGGAUUGUAUGAUUCUUAUUGACAAACCUCACAAGCCUUCCUCCCUUGGAAUCGCAUCAUGAAGCCAAUAGACUUAACAAACAAAUAUCAUGAACUUGUAACCAAAGGGUUUGCUCACUCUCUCGGUGAAAGCACCACCAUCCGCUUUUGGGAAGACUUGUGGGCUGAUGACUACACUCUGGCCACCAAAUUUCCACGCAUUCAUGCAUGGGCAAUAAGCAAGAAAGCCACGAUUGCUAAAAUGGGAAGCUGGGUCGAAGGAAAUUGGAGGUGGGAUGUUAAGUUAAGAAGGCAGCCUCUUAGCUAAGAGCAAAAUCAGUGGAGAGAUUUCACUACCUUCAUUAAGAAUUUUCAACCUCACCCCACUGACAAAGAUAUAGUGGUGUGGAAGAAAACUACUAGUGGUCUCUACACUCCUUCCUCUUUUAUUAAAGCAAGCCAUGGUACCCCCCUAGCUCUACAAGUUUUUAGAAAAAUGUUUGGAUUGGCUACGCUCCCCCGAAAGUCGAAACUUUCUGUUGGCAAACCCUCCAUGGCAAAAUAGCUGCUAAAUCUGUUUUGAUGCAUCAGGGAGUUCUUGCAGUUGAUGACGCUAAUUGCUCAUUCCGCACCUCUCAGCUCGAGACUCCCUUUCAUGUUCUCUUUGAUUGCACCAUUGCUUGGAAAACAUGGUCUUCUUGUUGUUGCUUAUGGGGUAUCACUUGGGUUCAACCUGGUGAUGUUUUGUCUUUUUUUAGGGCAUGGUUUGAACUUCCCAUGCCUACGGGCAAGAGAGAUACAUGGAGAAUGCUCUUUUUUGCAACACUUUGGACACUUUGGCUUUGUAGAAAUCAGGUUAUUUUCAGAGGGAAAAGGUUCAAUCCAAACAAAAUGAGAGACAUCGCCUUUUUAUGCCACAUGCUUUGGUGUCAAGGGAAAUGGGACCUUGGCCAUGUUCCUACUGACUUGUGUCUCAUGGAGCCUUUUUGGUCCAACAUCAACACUAAAAGGAAGAACCAAAGAAUGGCUGCCAACUGGUCAACUCCACCACCUGAAACUCUUAAACUCAACACAGAUGGCGCAGCAAAAGGCAAACCCGGACCUGCUGGUAUUGGAGGAGUGAUUAGGGACCACCAUGGCUUCAUUCUGGGAACAUUCUCUGAAAACAUUGGUAUUGAGAACUCAAAUUUUGCUGAAUUUUAUGCCAUACGAGAAGGAACCAGCUUCUUCUUUUCAUCUCCCCGGGCUGCCACUCAUUCUCUAGUUGUGGAAAGCGACUCUGCCAAUGCUAUCAAUUGGGCGCCACACCACUGCAAAGUCCCUUGACGGAUUAUAAAAAUUUUUCGAAUGCCAUUGAAACUUUCUUGUGUAAAAGCACAAGAAUCACUUUCAAGCAUGUAAUGAGGGAAGCCAACAAUGUUGCAGACGGAUUGGCCAAAGCAGGGGUAUUAAGAGACUCAAACUUCAAAGCCUACUUUCAAAACCAACAGGGGGAGAGUACAUGAACUCUUCCUUCAUUGCAAAAAGCUUUAUUAUUUUGGUUAACCUUCAACUAUCCCAAUGUCUUUUCUUUUGAAUAUGAUUUCUCACUUCAUCCUCUGUUUGUCAUGCUUUGUACCUCAAUGCUGGAAGUAGCAGACCUCUUUUUUUGUAAUCUGCUAUUCUUUUGCAUGGCAUUCUUGAAGUGCCUUUUGUAAUCUCUUCUUACGAGAUCGCUUGUGAAUAACAAAUACUGCCUUUCAAAAAAAAAAGAACUUAAAGGAGUUGAGGUAUUUUACCGAAACUUUAAUGAAUUAUGGGUACAUUUUGGGGUCUUAUUGAAAAGUUAGAGAUGUACAAGUUGCUUGCUAGAGUACCAAAAGAGAAAAGAAAAAUAAAAUAUAUAUCAUACUAGCUUAUGCUAACUACAUAAAUUUGUUCCAGAAGUCAGAAGUACUAUAGAUGAUCAGCAUUCCUAUGAAUCUCCACAUCUUUCAAAGCUCUUAUGCUUCUUUUGCUCAUUAACAAUUACUCUUUCAAUCAUGGUUACUUCUUUAUCAUCUUAUUCUUUGAAACAACUUCUUGUUGUUGUUGUUAGCUUUCUCUUCGUCAUAACCAUUAAUAUGUCCGAUUUUAAAGGAUGUUUCACAUCAAUCUUCAGCUUUGGUGAUUCCUACACCGAUACUGGCAACGUAGUCCACAUUUCACUCUCCGAAUCCAGGGAGCUUCCCCGCAGUGCUUUUCCUCCACAUGGCAGGACCUUUUUUGGUCAUCCAACAGGGCGAAGCUCCGAUGGCCGGUUGGUUAUAGAUUUCCUUGGUACGUAUAUAUAUGUAUAACCAGGUGAAAUCAAAUAUUGACCAUAUGGUUUAACUUUUGGUUAUGUUUAUAUCAAAUAAUGGUUAUAUAUAUAUUGAAAUUUUGUUUUUGCAGCUAAGGAUUUGGGACUCCCCUUUAUAGCACCAUAUUUUGGAGGUGAAAAUGGAACAUCACAAAAUUUUCAAAAGGGUGUGAAUUUUGCUGUAUCGGGUGCUACAGCACUGGAUUCUGCGUUUCUUGCAGAAAGGAGAGUCUAUGGUCUCGUCUCAAACCUUUCUUUGGGAGAUGAAGUGGGCUUUUUCAAAGAUGUUUUGCCAUCUCUUUGCUCAUCUUCUUCAGGUAAGCUUUUGCCUUGUUUAGAUUUGUGUUUUCUAGAAAAGAAAACUGCAGGAAAUGUUAUUGUUGAUAUUUUUUCUUAAAAUUUUUUAUUAUGUGGGUAAUUUCAGUUUAAUAAAACAAAUUGAUAAUUUAGUCUGAGACAAAGCAUGAGAGCCUAAUUAAUAUUAUAUUGAUCUAUUGAUGAUGGGUUUUAUACAUCUUAUUGUAUCAAUGUGGUUUAACGGUUAUGUAGACUUUGACUUAGAAAAUUUCUAAUGAAGGCUUCUACUAGUGUUUAUUAUUUAUAUAAUUGGCUAAGUCCCUCUUCACUUCUAACAACGGUCUCUACCCAUUAACGAAAUCUAACCUCAAUCAGUAUUAAUGAAUCAAUGUACGCAAUUACAAUUAUAUAAUUCUUAGUGUUCUAAUUUUCACAUAUAGAUCUAGAGAUUAAAAACUUUAAUUUUUUUCUUCCCUCGUCAAAGAAACUAUGUAAGCCCUGUUUCAUUUUCAGUGAAGAAUGGGAAAAUAAAAAUAAAUUGGAGAUUGAAAGCAAAUUUAAUCUAAUUUCUCUUCAUACAUAGUUGGCUUUCUUGCUCGGUUUCCUAAACCCAAAAAUGGAUUGUUUCAUAGAUUGCAAAGAAUUCCUUCGGACUUCUUUGAGAGUCAUGGGAGUGAUCGGAGGAAAUGAUUACACUCACGCAUUUCAACAAGGCAAAAAGUACGACGAGGUUCGAGGGUGGGUUCCUCUUGUUGUUGGUAACAUGGCUUCGGCAAUCAAUGUAAGAAACUCUAUCCCAACUUGCUGGAAAUAUUCACAAACUCUGAAGCCAAAAUUUUUCAAGAAUUUGAAACAUCGAUGGAGACAACUAUUGACAAAUAUCACUAGGCAAUGCGAUGCAGGAGUAGAUGGGAGUAUGGGGCAGGGACAAUUUUGGUCCCUGGAAGCGUACUACGUGGAUAUAUGGGAUCGUAUCUAGCAUUAUUUCAGAGUUCAGACAAGGAAAAAUAUGACCCUUGAACUGGUUGUUUAACAUGGGCAAACGAGUUCGGAGAGUACCACAAUGAAUUGCUUCAGAAGGAACUUGAUCGAAUUCGGAAGCUUCACCCCAAUGUCCACAUUAUUUAUGCUGACUAUUACAAUACUGCAAUGCGUUUCUACACUUCCCCAAACAAAUUUGGUACUUUCAUAAAUAGCUGUCUUAUCAUUGUCCUUAACUCAAUGAUCAUCAAAAUUUGGCUUGUUUACCUGGAUUUUUUCUGGAUGAUUCCAGGAUUUACGGAAACUCUGAAGUCAUGCUGCGGAGUGGGAGGUUCAUAUGGUUUCAAUUUAUCUUAACGCUGUGGUGACCCACCUCUGAGAAUCUGCUGUGAUGACCCUUCUUCGCAUGUAAGCUGGGAUGGUGUACAUUAUACAGAAGCAGCCUACAGAUUGCUUUCCAAGGCUAUACUAGAACAACUAUUCACCAUUCCUAGUGUAAAUAACUUGUCUUCCAUUUACUUGUUAACAGACAAACUUAUCAGUAGCUGAGACAUGGGUGACUGUUUAUUUGACAUCUUUUUAUGUUCCUUUGUCAAUUUAUGGCAACGGAUUUAGAUUCAAAACAAAAUCUCACUUUAAAUUAGGUGAGAUGUUACUUUCUGUCUUUGAAUUUUCUUUUGUUCCUUUAGUGAAUAAAAUACAUGUGAGUUGGGGUGGACUUAAAGAAUUUUUUUGAAUGGUGUCAUUAUGAUCGUGCUCAAAAAUUUUUUUUUUUCUCGAUUCAUGAUUUGCUGAGAAAGUACUUAGAUUAAAUUCAACAUAACUUUGCUUAAAAGAAUAUUGUUGAGUGCCAUCAUUAGUGAAAUUUUGUUAUUGUUGCUCAAAAUUUGAAUCUUGUGAGACACUUUUUUUUCUUUUAAAAUAUCUUGCCAUAGCUUAUUUAUCUAAAAUUAUAAAAUUUGUUAAAAAUUACUAUUCAUUAGUAUUAAUUAAAAUAUUAAAAUUAAAUAAAAUAUGAUCUUCCAUAGCAAAUUAUCAAGUUGAGUAACUAACAAUAUAACAAUUUUCUAUUCAUUGAUCAAAAUUAAAUAUAAACAUCCACAAACUACAUAAAAUUAAGUACAAAAAUCAAAUAAUCAAAUAAUAUAUCUAUAAAAUAAAUAAAUAAAAAAGACUCAUAAUUUCAAGAUAUUAUUUGACAUGCAAUAUUAUUUUCUAUUAACUAUAUAAUAAUUAAGAACCCAAAUUAUCAAACUAAUCAAAAAAAAUAUUUAGACAUAAAGUAUUUAAAAACUUAAUUUGAAUUGAAAAGGGGCCUUUAUCACAUAUUUGCGUUCUAUUCAUAUUAAAAAAGAUAAAGAGGUUUUUGAUGUGAUGAAACUACCUAUUGAUGAAUAUUCAGCGUCACUUGGUUUACCAAUGACCCCUAAAGUUAGGUUCUUUAACCAAAAAAGGAAAAGCAAAAUGGAGUCAGAAAAAUCUUCUUUUCUUGAAUCAGAAAUCUUUAAUGAGGAAAAUGAGUCAGUUAUGCCAAAAGAAGAGCUACUUGUAGAAGAUGUCAAAGACAACAAAGUGGACAAAGAUUUUCUUCUGAAGGAUGGUACACAAGAUGUGGGAGAACAGAAUACUAGUGAGAUUGGAGAUACUAUGUAUGUCCCUCAUUCAUGUCUUACAUAAGGAGUAAUCAUAAUGAUGGUCUUGCAAUGAUGCCAAAUUAUUUGACUUAUGUAGUAGUCAGUUGAAUGGCUAAUUCUUUUGAUUUAAUUGAUGAUUUUACUGGUAGACUUUAGUUGGUUAGGUGGUAACAUGCAGAGAUCCUUGUCUGGUUUUCAUUUUGCAAGUAGUUUUUGAGUUACGUUUCUUUCUUUAGGUCGGCGACACGGGUUUUGAAGAAAAAAAGGCUGAAGAUCAGUGUUCAUAGGCCUUUGAGGACAAGGGUGGUCUUUGAUGAGGAAGGCAGCACGUAAACUCCAUUUGCCAUUUUGGGUGACAAGAAGAGUGGCAACAUUCUGCUCGACCAAGGUACACAUUAUCACUUCUGUUUACAGAAGGUUAUAGGCUUGUCAGUCUUGUGCUACUUUUCUACAGCUUUUAAUGUAUGAUCUGUUAAUUAAUUUGAUUUGCUUUUUUCUGCUUCUUAUGUAAUAAGGAGAAAAUAUUAUCUUAUGACUAAUUUAAUUCUUAAGUCAACUAGACUUUUGAAUAGUUUUAGACAGCAUCUUAUGUCAUUCAAAAUUUGGUGCUGCUUUUGACAUAAGGGGCUCUCUUCCAGAAAGAUAUACUCAAAUGGACUGUGUUUUCGAUGCUUUGACUGUGUUGAAUGCAUUGUUGCUUCUUGAUGUUCUUUCAUCUAAUGCUUUUCAUAUUGCAGACAAAAAUGAUGAGUUCUACAGGAAAAUGAGAGCAGAGUUGAAGUAUGUUGAAUGUUAGUGGUAUUUGAUCAGCAUCAAAGUAAAAUGGUUAGCAGCAAGUAAGGAUACACUGGUAACAGAAUGAAGGAAGAAGUAUCAGUAAUCAACAGAGCACUUCUUGCAGCUAUCGUUUAAUAUUUUGUUCAUUGUCAUUUUAGACUGUUACUCUUAUGUUCUUUAAUUGUUCUUUACUUUACUGUUUUACUUCAUUCACUAGUGUAGAGAGUCUGUUGUUAUUUCACAAAAUUGUCUCGUUUUGCUAUGUAUGUUGAAGGUUGUUACACAGAUUUUUGUGACAUUCCUUCUUGAUGUUAACAAUGCCAAGCGUCUAUAGCUGGUUAGCUACAGUUUUCGUUAUUCUCUCUUCUCUAACAAUGUAUAUAUAUCAGUUGGUUAUUAAUAAAAAGGUGCUGCUGUCAUUUGAGAGCCAUCUAUUUUUAUGUUCUCUAGAGUUCUUCUUUGUUUUUUGGAAAUCUAUUGAUAAUAUUCCUCUUCUUUGCUAAAAAUCAACAUAGUAUCAAAGCAUCUAUAAGGAUCUUAAGGGAUUGUUGGUGCUAUUUUUUUCUAUUUUAUCUACCUUGCUUUGUUGGUUGUUUUUUCAUCCGAUUGUGAUUGUUUCUCCACGGCCACAGCUGGGUUUAGCACAUCAGCUUCGCCAGUUUUUUCAGGGGAGAACUAUGCUUUCUGUUUAGUCAAAAUGAAAUCCUACUUGAAGGCCUUCAAUAUUUGGGACGCUGUGGAGACUGGGGUUGAGCCAGCGCUAAUAUAUGCAAAUCCAACCAUUGCUCAGAUGAAGCAACAUGAAGAGAACAUUGCUAAGAGGUACAAAGCUUUGUCUUGUUUGCAAUCUGCUCUGUCUUAUGAUAUUUUUGUUAGGAUAAUGCAUUUAGAGAAUCCUAAAGAAGUUUGGGAUCACUUGAAGGAUGAAUUUCAAGGUAGUGAACGUACCAAACAGAAUCAGGUAUUAAACUUAAAUAGACAAUUUGAGAUGUUGAGUAUGGAUGAUAAUGAGUCUGUUAGGGAGUUUUCAGGAAAAUUGAUGGGUAUUGUGAAUCAACUCAGAUUGUUGGGGAAAGCAAUACUUGAAGAUAGGCUAGUUAGUAAAAUGCUAGUUAGCUUACCUGAAAAGUAUGAAUCUAAAAUCUCUUCCUUAGAAGAUUCCAAAGAUUUAUCACAGCUCACCUUGAAAGAGUUGGUAAAUGCCUUGGAGGGAUUGGAACAAAAGAGAGCAUUUAGGCAAAAAAAGUUAGUUGACAGUGCUUUAGUUGCAAGAACAAAAACUUUGAAAUCGGGUGGCAGCAAUUCUAAAAGAAAUGUAGUUGAGAAGAAGGAGAAAAGGGAAGAAACCAGUGGAUGAUAAGUCUGGGAAACAGAAGACCAAACAUCUUCCUUGUACUCAUUGCAAAAAGACCACUCACACUGCUAAGUUUUGUUGGUAUAUGCCUAAUGUAGAGUGUAGGUCUUGUGGUCAGCAAGGACAUGUUGAAAGGGUAUGUAAAAACAAGAGUUCACAUCCUGAUGAAAAGGCUGCUGUUGCAGAGGAAGUGGAGAGUACAUAUUAGGUGUUGUUCAUGGUUCGAGAGGUCAGUAGUUCAGACAAAAAAAAAUUGUGGCUGAUAGAUAGUGCUUGUUCAAAUCAUUUGACUGGAGAUGAAAGUCAGUUUACCUCAUUGAAUAGGAGCUAUAAGGCUAAGGUGGAGAUUGGUUAUGGGUCAUUUCUUAGGAUACUUUGUAUAGGGACAGUAGCUGUCAAGACUCAAGCAGGUAGCAAAUACAUACAUGAUGUCUAUUUGGUUCCUAAAGCCACUCAAAAUUUACUUAGUGUUGGUCAGAUCACUAAGAAUCAUUAUUCAUUUUUAUUUAAGGGUCAAUACUGUACCAUUUUUUAUCCUAAAGGUGAGGAGGUGCUGACUGUUGAGAUGAAGAACGAGUGCUACCCUAUUGACUAGAAAAGGGUAACUAUCAAAGCUUUUAUCAACUAUGUUGAUGAUUCUGAAUUAUGGCACAAAAGAUUUGGACAUGUCAACUAUCAUUCUCUGCAAAGGAUGUACUCUCAGAAGUUGGUUGAUGGCUUACCUAAGGUUGAAAAAACUGAGUUACUAUGUGGGAUAUGUCAGAUAGGCAGCAAUGCAAGCUUCCAUUUCCAAAAGAAAGGAAGUGGAAAGCAUCCAAGAAACUGCAGCUCAUACAUACUGAUCUGGGAGGCCCUAUGAAAACUGUCUCCUUAUGUGGCAAUAAGUAUUAUUUGAUCUUUAUUGAUGAUCUAACCAAGUACUGUUGGACUUAUUUUCUUAAGUUCAAAUCUAAAGCUCUAUCUUACUUUGUUAAGUUCAAGAAUCUGGUUGAAAACCAAGCUAAUGUGAGCAUCAAGAUCUUCAAGAGUGAUAAUGGUAAGGAAUACACUACUGGGGAGUUUAAGAAGUUUCUUUGUAAGUUUGGCAUUACUCAUCAACUCACUGUUUGAUACAACCCUUAGCAAAAUGGGGUUGCUGAGAGAAAAACCAGAACAUUGAUGGAGAUGUCUAUAUGUUUGUUGUUUUAAAAGCAAUUAUCAAACCACUUUUGGUUAGAAGUUGUGAAUACAGCAAACUACCUACUGAAUGUAACUCAAACAAGGGCACUGGUUAAUAAAACACCAUUUGAAGCUUGGUUUGGUUACAAACCUUCAGUUGCUCACUUAAGGGUAUUUGGAAGCAUCUGCUAUGCAAAGAUCCCGGAUCAAAGCAGGACUAAGUUGGAUGAGAAAAGUAUCUUGGCUAUUCACAUUGGUUACAAUGAAGUUUCCAAAGGAUACAAAUUGUAUAAUGUGAAAACUCAAAAGUUCUUUGUCAGUAGGGAUGUCAAAUUUGAUGAACAUUCUUAUUGGAACUGAGAGAAGUCAACUGUUGAUUCUUUGAGUAAUCAGAAUCUUGUGCAAUACUAGUCAGUGAGAGAAGAUGAUGAAGAAGUGGAUAUUGAAGAUGAAAACCUUGCUGUGAGAGGUACUAAGUCACUGCAAGAUAUCUAUGCCCGGUGUAAUAUGGCAGUGUAUGAACCUACUAGUUAUGCAGAAGCAGCAACUGACAGAAGGUGGGUGCAGGCAAUGGAACAAGAGAUGUUGAUGAUUGAGAAAAAUGGUACUUGGUUGUUGGUGGACAAACCAACAGAUCAGCAUGUAAUUGGAACCAAAUGGAUUUUCAAGACAAAGCUUAAUACUGAUGGAUCAGCGAACAAGUACAAAGCAAGAUUGGUAAUAAAAGGGUAUUCUUAGAUUUAUGGUGUGGACUACAGGGAGACUUUUGAUCUAGUCGUGAGACAUGACACAAUAAGGUUGUUGGCUGCAUUAGCAGCUCAAGAAGGGUAGAACAUCUGGCAUCUUAAUGUGAAAUCUUCUUUUUUGAAUGGCUAUCUUGCAGAAGACAUCUAUAUUCAUCAACUACAAGGAUUCAUCAAACCAGGGACUGAGGAUAAAGUCUGCAAGCUGGUGAAAGCGUUGUAUGGCUUAAACCAAGCUCCAAGGGCCUGGUAUGAUAGAAUUAACUCAUUUCUCAUUGCUGAAGGUUUUCAAAAGAGUCAAAUGAGCCAACACUAUAUGUGAGCAGCACUAAAGCUUCAGUCAAGGUAAUUUUUUCUCUAUAUGUUGAUAAUUUAUUACUUACUGGUUCGAAUUUUAGUUCCUUAAGUGAUUUUAAGAAUAAGCUGAUGAAAGAAUUUGAAAUGACUGACUUAGGAAAGAUGCACUAUUUUCUGGGAUUACAAUUCAUUCAAAGGUCAGAUUACAUUUGUAUACAUCAAAGUAAAUAUGCAAAUGAAAUUCUGAAGAAGUUUCACAUGGAGAAGUGUAAAGCUGUGGAUACCCUUUUAGCUUCAAACUGCAGAUUAACCAAGGAUGAUGGUACCCCAAGUGCAAAAAGUUUAGUAUAUAAGAGCAUCAUUGGAAGUCUACUCUAUUUAACUGCUUCAAGACCAGAUAUUAUGUUCUCUGCUAGUUUGUUGUCUCGAUUUAUGUGAAGUCCCUCACAAACUCACUUUGCAGCAACUAAGAAAAUGCUGAGGUAUAUUAAAGGAACAGUAGAGUUAGGCUUGAAAUUUGAGAAGAAGAAAAGCUCUGUUCUUAUGGGAUAUUGUGAGAGUGAUUGGGUAGGAAGUCUUGAUGACUCUAAAAGCACUUCAGGUUAUUGUUUCUCACUUGGCAGUGCAGUUUUUAGUUGGAAUUCUAGAAAGCAAGAGGUGGUGGCUCAAUCCUCUGCAGAAGCAGAGUAUGUUGUUAUUGCUGCUGCUUCAAAUCAUGUGAUUUGGCUAAGACAGGUCUUUCAUGAUCUAAGGUAUAUCAAUGAGAAGGGUACACUGCUAUACAUUGAUAACAAAUAUGCUAUUUCAAUUGCAAAAAAUCCUAUGCAGUAUGGUAGGACAAAACACAUCAAAGUGAAGUUUCAUGCAAUCCGAGAGGCUGUGAAGGAUGAAGAAGUUGAUAUUCAUCACUGUGGCACUAAACUGCAGUUAGCUGAUAUUUUUACUAAGAGUUUAAGUAAGGAUCAAUUUAUGUUUUUGAGAUUUGAAAUGGGGUUGUGCAACUCAAACACCAAGGAGGUGUGUUGAAUGUUAGUGGUAUUUGACUAGCAUCAAAGUAAAAUGGUUAGCAGCAAGUAAGGAUGCACUGAUAACAAAAUGAAGGAAGAAGUAUCAGCAGUCAACAGAGCACUUCUUGCGGCUAUCGUUUAAUACUUUGUUCAUUGUCGUUUUAGACUAUUACUCUUAUGUUCUUUUACUGUUCUUUACUUUACUAUUUGAAUUCAUUCAUUAGUGUAGAGUGUCAGUUGUUAUUUCACAACACUGUGUCGUUUUGCUAUGAAUGCUGAAAGUUGUUUCACAGAUUUCUGUGACAUUCUUUUUUGAUGUUAGCAAUGCUAGGCAUCUAUAGCUAGUUAGCUAUAGUUUUCGUUAUUCCUUCUCCUCUAACAAUGUAUAUAAAUUAGUUGGUUAUUAAUGAAAAUGUGCUGUUGUCAUUUGAGAGCCAUCCAUUUUUAUGUUCUCUAGAGUUCUUCUCUGUUUUCUGGAAAUCUGUUGAUAAUAUUCCUCUUUUUUGCUAAAAAUCAACAAAGCAAGUGGACAAGGAAGACAAGUUUUUGGAGCACCAAUGGCUUAGGAAGAAAUUACUCAAGCAGAAGAUGAAGUGUAAGAAAUGGAGAGAGGAGGAAAAGGAUAAUGAAAAGGAUAAGGAUGAUCUUUCCAAUUCAGAAGGAGAGUCAGAUGCGAACAAAAAACAUAAGAGGUUUAAAGUAUACUUUCAUAGUAAUAGUGAUGAUGAUUAAACAAAAGAAAAUAAGGUUGAUGCAAGUUUCAAUGCUAAUUUCGUAUCUCUGGCAAAACAAGAAGAACUUGCUCUUAAGUUGUUAAACUUAAUGCACUCGUAAAUUAUAUGAAGUACAUGAUCCUCCUAUUGACCGUACAUUAGUUCAUUGCCAACAGAAAUAGCUGUGUUGAAGAUUAAUACUUAAUCUGUGAAGUUAGCUGACUAAAGCAUGAAGUUAGCUAACUAAAGUGUGAAGUUAGCUGACUACAGUUAUUGGCAGGAAGCAACAAAUUGAAAGUUGAGGAAAUUUGUUCAAGGAAUGAAACGCUGCCCUUAGGGAUUUAAAAAGCUUAAUGAUACGAUGGUUUCUUGUGUCGUUUAACUUGGUUUAAUUAUUCAGUUGCUAAACGCAGUAUUUUGAUGUCGUUUUGCUUGGUUGUCAUUUUCUGUUGUCAAUGCUCAACAGUCAUGCUUAUUCUUCUUGUUUUCUGUUAGAGCUGUGCUUCGAUUGGUGUGAAGUUUUUCCUUUUGAUUCGAUUUAUGAGGAAAGUUUAUAAUUGCUUAGUAUAAAUACAAAUUUGAAAAUUGGAUUGAUGUGCUUUUUGGAUCCAAUAUUUUGAGCUGAAUUUCUUUCUCUGUUUUUCUGCUCAACAAAGCUCUUUGAACUUUUUCAAGUAAAAUUUUCCAGAAAUUCUUUAAUUAUCUGUUUGGCUGUUUUCUUCAAUUGGUAUCAAAGCUUUAAGUGAUCUUGAGGGGCCUAGGUUGUGAUACAAUGACUUUCGGAUUCAAUUCAUCAACCCACCAAAGUUCAUCGGAGAGAACUAUUCUUUCUAAAGUGUAAAGAUUGAGCCAUAUCUCAGAGCCUUCACGUUGUGAGAAGCGUGGAGACAGAUGAGGAGCCAGUGCAAAAAAGAGCUAAUUCAACUAUAGCUCAGAUCAGCAAUUUGAGGAAGACAAAGCAAAAAGGUACAAAGCUCUGUCUUACCUUCACUCAGCUUUAUCUGAUGAGAUUUUUUAUCAGGUUAUGCAUUUGAGAUCUCUUAAGCAAAUUUGGGACUAUCUGAGGGAUGAAUUUUUUAAAAGUGAACGAACUAGGCAAAUUCAGGCUUUCAACUUAACUCAAAAGUUUGAAACGCUUAGAAUGAAGGACAGUGAAAACAUUAGAGAUUUUACUAGUAAAAUGAUAAGACUAGUAAAUCAAUUAAGAUUACUUGGAAGGGAAAUUACUGAAGAACGUUUAGUGACUAAGAUGUUGGUGAGUUUACCUGAGAAGUAUGAAUCAAAGGUGUCAUCAUUAGAAGAAGCUAGAUAUUUGACUCAGAUUACUCUAAAAGAAUUAGUUAAUGCUUUGGAGGGACUUGAGCAGAGAAAAGCUAUUAGGCAAAAGAGUGCAGCUGAUUUUGCCUUGAUUGCUAAGUCCAAAACUCAAAAAGAUGAUGAUAGAAAGUUAAAGAGUGAUACUGCUGAGAAGAAAAACGGGAGAAAGAAGACUGGAGAGAAAAGACAAUGAGAGAAAAAGAAAGAGUUCUCACCACUUCAGUAUUGCAAGAACACUAAUCACAGUGAGAAGUUUUGUUGGUACAGACCAAAUGUGGUAUGUAGAGCUUGUAAUCAAAAAGGGCAUGUGGAGAAAGUAUGCAAGACUCGUGCCAAAAGAAAAGAAAAGGUUGAUGUAGCUGAGCAAAUAGAAGAUGAAACUGAAGAGGUUUUGUUUAUGGCAACAAGUGAAGAAGGUCUGAGCAAAAAUACUGUAUGGUUGUUAGACAGUGCCUAUUCACAUCAUUUAACUGGGAAUAAGUCUCUUUUCUCCACUCUUAAUAUAAGUUUUAAGUCAAAAGUGAAGAUUGGAGAUGGUAACUACCUGGAUAUACUUGGCAUUGGCAUUGUUAAAGUUGAAACUGCCUCAGGAGAUAAGUGCAUCAGUAAUGUGCAUUAUGUAUCAAGUGCCAACCACAAUUUGUUAAGUGUGGGACAAUUGGCCAAAGACCAUUACACUUUGCUUUUUAAUGGUAAAGUUUGCACAUUGAUUGAUCCGAAUGGUGAUGAAUUGUACACUGUUGCAAUGAGGAACAAUUGUUAUCCUCUUAAUUUAGCUAAAAAUACUUCACAUUUGGCUUUGUAUAGUGAGCUAGAUAUAUCAGAAAAGUGGCACAGGAGAUUUGGACAUGUCAAUUACAGCUAAUUGUCUCUAAUGUCAGCAAAGAGUCUAGUGAAAGGCUUGCUUGGGAUUGUAAAACCAUCUAAGCUUUGUAAAGCUUGUCAACUUAAAAAGCAGACUAGGAAACCAUUUCCUAAGCAAAGUGGAUGGAAGGCUUCCAGAAAGCUUGAGCUGGUGCAUACUGACAUCUCUGGUCCCAUAAAAACUGCUUCACUCAGUGGAAGCAGAUACUGGGCGAUGCUCCGAUGGCCGUCUGGUCAUAGAUUACGUUGGUAUGUGUAUAGGCAGUUGAGUGAUUACAUGCUUUGAUAUUGGUCAUGGUUAUGCUAUAGUUUCUCCAUGGUUUUUGCAGCUCAAGGUUUGGGACUCCCGUUUUUACCACCUUAUUUUGGAGGUCAAAAUGGAAGACCAAAAAACUUUCAGAAGGGUGUGAAUUUUGCUGUGGUAGGUGCUACAGCACUUGAUGAUGCGUUUUUCAAAGAAAGAGGAAUCAAGAACCCUUUUACAAACGUUUCUUUGGGAGUUGAAUUGGGACUUUUCAAAGAAGUUUUGCCAUCUCUUUGCUCUUCUUCUUCAGGUAAGUUCUUGUAUCCUUUCAGAUUCUGUUUGAUAAGAAGGAAAAGGGCCCGGUAGGUUAAAAUAUCUUCCACAGUUUACUAGUAUGAAAAGGAAAUUAAGUAACAAACUAAUCAGUCAAUUAUCUCUUUUCAUUUUCCUACCCGUUUUCCAAACGGUGAAGAAGCUAUGUCCUAUUUCAUUUCAGUGAAGAAGGAUGGGAAAAUGAACUGGAAAUUGAAUUACACAGUUAGUCUAUCAAUGAACCUUAAUUUCUUGAUCUUGCUUGGUUUCCUGCUGCUAAAACGCUAUGACUCACAGAUUGCAAAGAGCUCCUCCGGGAGUCUUUGAUUGUUAUGGGAGAGAUUGGAGGAAAUGAUUACAACUAUGCAUUCGAGGAAGGAAAAAACCCUGAAGAGAUUUGAGAGUUUGUUCCUGUUGUAGUUCAUACCAUAUCUUCGGCAAUCAAUGUAAGAAAAUCAGAGUGCCAGCAGCAUGCUAAAAUAUUCACAAGUUUUGAAGGCAAAAUUUCCCAAAAACUUGAAAAUUUAAUGCUGGUUUUGUUUCAAUUCCAUUACUUCUAUAUACUUGUUUCUUUGGUUCAGUGAAUCUGACAUGUUAACAAAGUUUACUUGGCAAUGGUGCAGGAGUUAAUCGAGUUAGGGGCAGUCACAUUUUUGGUCCCUGGAAACCUUCCAAUCGGAUGCUCACCAGCAUAUCUAACAUAUUUUCAGGGUUCAGAUAAAGGUUCAGAUAAAGGAGAAUAUGAUCCCUUAACCUGUUGUUUAACAUGGCUGAACCAGUUCUCUGAGUACCACAAUGAAUUGCCUCAGCAAGAACUUGAUCAAAUCCGCGAGCUUCAUCCCCAUGUCAACAUCAUUUAUGCAGACUAUUACAACAUUGCAAUGCGUUUCUACCAUUUCCCAGACCAAUUUGGUACUUCCAUAGUUUCAACUGUCUUACAAAAUAUUUCAAGCUUAUCGUAUCCAAACUAAUGUUAUAGAGGGAUAUUAAUUAAUUCUCAUCAUGGUCAUCAAAUGUUGGCUUGUUUACAUGAACUUUUUCCUCUUUCUGCAUGAUUCCAGGGUUUACAAAAACAAUAGUAGCAUGUUGUGGAAGGGGAGUUCCCUACAAUUACAGCUCAUCCAUGGCUUGUGGUGAUCCACCAUUGAGAAGCAGCUGCGAUGACCCUUCUUCAUAUGUUAGCUGGGAUGGUGUGCAUUUCACUGAAGCAACCUACAGAUGGAUCUCCAAGGCUGUGUUAAAAGAACUAUUCACCAUUCCUUACAGAAACAGCUUAUGUCUUCCAUUGACAGUGAACAACAAAUUCAUUAGUAGCUGAGAUACUAAGGUGUUGAUUAUUUAUUUUCUCCGAAUAUUAGAGUAUCAGAUGUCAAUUUAAAUGAAAAAAAAAAGAAGAAUUCAUUGGAAUUAAUUUGAUAUAUAUAUGAGUUACUAAAAUCUUUGUUUCUGGUUUUUGGUUGAUGAUAAUCGGCCUCUCUGGCAGUGAUCAACAUCACUUUUGAUGAAUCCAACUUACUUUGAUUUGGAAUGCUUAUUAAAUUCAUCAAAUCAAGUUAUCUUUCCUUUCAUCUUAUAUAUUUUCCUCAUUCAGCUCUUUGAACUAGGAAAAGAACUGUCGAUCCAUUUUGCAAUAGAUAUUCAUCAUGCCUGCAAGUAGGCAGUAGUAAAAACACAAUAUCAUGCUCUUUAAUGAGAGCAUUUCAUUUUCUCCUCUCAUGUUGUUGAUUCAUUUCAUUGCAGAGAGAUUAUGCAUUUGUCAUUAAAUCAAAUGUUCGGACGGUAUAAGUUUUUUAUAUGAAAAAAAUAGUUAAAUAUUACUUAAAUUUGAAAGCAAUCAGCCUUCAAAAGAAAAUAUCAAAUGCAAUUAACAGGGCAUUGCCAUGGGGGACCAAGUUCUGCAUAGGCUUUUAAUUAGUUCUUCAUGGAGGCAACAACUCCAAGAAAUACACGUGGGGUUUUGUUUGGUACAUAAUACACAAACAAACUCGUGGCAUUGUGAUUGUAACAAAUACCUACCAGUCCAUAGGCAUAGUGUAGGGGUAACACAAUACCAAAAUUCUUCUGCAACUUUUUCUUCUUACAUUCAUGGCUAAUCCUUUUUCGUCUUCUUCAUCAUGUUCCUUGUUGAACUUGAAACAGCAUUUCAUUGUUAGCUUUCUCUUUGUCACCUUUACCAUAAUUACACAUGUGAAUGGAUGUUUCACGUCAAUCUUCAGCUUUGGUGAUUCCUUUGCUGACACCGGAAACUUUCUUCAAAUUUCACUUUCAGAACACAGCGAGCUUCCUCAAAGUGCUUUCCCUCCAUACGGACGGACCUUUUUUCAUCAUCCAACAGGGCGAUUCUCUGAUGGCCGGCUGGUUAUAGAUUUCAUUGGUGGGUGAGCAUGCUUUGGUUAUGCUAAGAUUAUUAUGGUUUUCAUUUAUUUUCAUGGUUUUGCAGCUGAGGAUUUUAGAUUACCGUUUUUACCACCGUAUUUUGGAGGUGAAAAUGGAAGAUCAAAUAACUUUCAGAAGGGUGUGAAUUUGGCUGUGGCGGGUGCUACUGCACUUGAUGAUGAGAUUCUCAAAGAAAGAGGAAUCACUAAUCCCGCCACAAACGUUACUUUGGGAGUCGAAUUGGGGUUUUUCAGAGAUGUUUUGUCAUCUCUCUGCUCAUCUUCUUCAGGUGAAUUGUCAUAUCCUUUACAUAUGGUGUUUGGUAGAAAGGAAAAGAAAGAAUAGAAGUAUUUUUAUGAAGGACAAACUGUUCCACUUACUCUAAUAUGAACCAAUUCUUUGAUUGUUAUGGGAGAGAUUGACAGAUUGCAGAAAGCUCCUUAGCAACUCUUUGAUUGUUAUGGGAGAGAUCGGGGGAAAUGAUUACAAUUUCGCAUUCGAGGAAGGGAAAAGCAAUGAGGAGACUCGAGAGCUUGUUCCUCUAGUUAUUGAUACCAUAGCUUCAGCAAUCCAUGUAAGAAAACUGCCUGCCAGCGUGUUAAAAAUCUUGAUAAAUUUGCUGAUAUCGUUAACAUAUUUUAGUAGGCAAGGCAAUGCAGGAGUUGAUUGAGUUAGGGGCAGUCACAUUUUUGGUCCCUGGAAACCUACCAAUUGGAUGCUUCCCAUCAUGUCUGACAAACUUUGAGGGUUCAGAUGAGGAAGAAUAUGAUCCCUUAACCGGUUGUCUAACAUGGCUGAACCACUUCUCUGAGUACCACAAUCAAUUGCUUCAAGAAGAACUUGCUAGAAUCCAGGAGAUUCAUCCCCAUGUCAACAUUGUUUAUGCAGAUUAUUACAGUGCUGCAAUUCGUUUCUACCUUUCUCCAA
rnacentral:lncRNA from 1 species